rnacentral:rRNA from 1 species
GAUGAACGCUGGCGGCGUGCCUAAUACAUGCAAGUCGAGCGAACGGACGAGAAGCUUGCUUCUCUGAUGUUAGCGGCGGACGGGUGAGUAACACGUGGAUAACCUACCUAUAAGACUGGGAUAACUUCGGGAAACCGGAGCUAAUACCGGAUGAUAUUUUGAACCGCAUGGUUCAAAAGUGAAAGACGGUCUUGCUGUCACUUAUAGAUGGAUCCGCGCUGCAUUAGCUAGUUGGUAAGGUAACGGCUUACCAAGGCAACGAUGCAUAGCCGACCUGAGAGGGUGAUCGGCCACACUGGAACUGAGACGCGGUCCAGACUCCUACGGGAGGCAGCAGUAGGGAAUCUUCCGCAAAGGGCGAAAGCCUGACGGAGCAGCGCCGCGUGAGUGAUGAAGGUCUUCGGAUCGUAAAACUCUGUUAUUAGGGAAGAACAUAUGUGUAAGUAACUGUGCACAUCUUGACGGUACCUAAUCAGAAAGCCACGGCUAACUACGUG